CCGGAGCUAAUACCGGAUAGUUCCUUGAACCGCAUGGUUCAAGGAUGAAAGACGGUUUCGGNCUGUCACUUACAGAUGGACCCGCGGCGCAUUAGCUAGUUGGUGAGGUAACGGCUCACCAAGGCGACGAUGCGUAGCCGACCUGAGAGGGUGAUCGGCCACACUGGGACUGAGACACGGCCCAGACUCCUACGGGAGGCAGCAGUAGGGAAUCUUCCGCAAUGGACGAAAGUCUGACGGAGCAACGCCGCGUGAGUGAUGAAGGUUUUCGGAUCGUAAAGCUCUGUUGUUAGGGAAGAACAAGUGCAAGAGUAACUGCUUGCACCUUGACGGUACCUAACCAGAAAGCCACGGCUAACUACGUGCCAGCAGCCGCGGUAAUACGUAGGUGGCAAGCGUUGUCCGGAAUUAUUGGGCGUAAAGGGCUCGCAGGCGGUUUCUUAAGUCUGAUGUGAAAGCCCCCGGCUCAACCGGGGAGGGUCAUUGGAAACUGGGAAACUUGAGUGCAGAAGAGGAGAGUGGAAUUCCACGUGUAGCGGUGAAAUGCGUAGAGAUGUGGAGGAACACCAGUGGCGAAGGCGACUCUCUGGUCUGUAACUGACGCUGAGGAGCGAAAGCGUGGGGAGCGAACAGGAUUAGAUACCCUGGUAGUCCACGCCGUAAACGAUGAGUGCUAAGUGUUAGGGGGUUUCCGCCCCUUAGUUC
rnacentral:rRNA from 2 species